rnacentral:rRNA from 1 species
CCUACGGGUGGCAGCAGUGGGGAAUCUUCCGCAAUGGACGAAAGUCUGACGGAGCAACGCCGCGUGAGUGAUGACGGCCUUCGGGUUGUAAAGCUCUGUUAAUCGGGACGAAAGGUCUUCUUGCGAAUAGUUAGAAGAAUUGACGGUACCGGAAUAGAAAGCCACGGCUAACUACGUGCCAGCAGCCGCGGUAAUACGUAGGUGGCAAGCGUUGUCCGGAAUUAUUGGGCGUAAAGCGCGCGCAGGCGGAUCAGUCAGUCUGUCUUAAAAGUUCGGGGCUUAACCCCGUGAUGGGAUGGAAACUGCUGAUCUAGAGUAUCGGAGAGGAAAGUGGAAUUCCUAGUGUAGCGGUGAAAUGCGUAGAUAUUAGGAAGAACACCAGUGGCGAAGGCGACUUUCUGGACGAAAACUGACGCUGAGGCGCGAAAGCCAGGGGAGCGAACGGGAUUAGAUACCCCAGUAGUC